UUCGGAUUGGGGUCUGCAACUCGACCCCAUGAAGUCGGAGUCGCUAGUAAUCGCAGAUCAGCAACGCUGCGGUGAAUACGUUCCCGGGCCUUGUACACACCGCCCGUCAAGUCACGAAAGUUGGUAACACCCGAAGCCCAUGGCCCAACCCUUGUGGGGGGAGUGGUCGAAGGUGGGACUGGCGAUUGGGACUAAGUCGUAACAAGGUAGCCGUACCGGAAGGUGCGGCUGGAUCACCUCCUUUCUAAGGAGCU
rnacentral:rRNA from 1 species